UACAGGGGAUGCAAGUGUUAUCCGGAAUUAUUGGGCGUAAAGCGUUUGUAGGUUGAUUUGUAAGUCUUUUGUUAAAUUAUUAAGCUUAACUUAAAACAUGCAAAGGAAACUAUUUAUCUAGAGUUAAGUAGGGGUAAAGGGAAUUUCCAGUGAAAUGGUGAAAUAUUUAGAUAUUGGAAAGAACACCAAAGGCGAAGGCAUUUUACUAGACUAAAACUGACACUGAGAAACGAAAGCUAGGGGAGCGAACGGGAUUAGAUACCCGUGUAGU
rnacentral:rRNA from 1 species